rnacentral:rRNA from 1 species
AGGGUGUAAACGCUGCAGACUUGGUGUUGGAAGUCCUUUGGGGGCAUUCAGUGCCGGAGAGAAGUUGUUAAGUCUGCUACUUGGGGAGUACGUCCGCAAGGAUGAAACUUAAAGGAAUUGGCGGGGGGAGCACCACAACGGGUGGAGCCUGCGGUUUAAUUGGACUCAACGCCGGAAAUCUCACCGGAUAGGACAGACAUAUGAUAGUCGGGCUGAAGACUCUACUUGAUGAUCUGAGAGGUGGUGCAUGGCGUAGACGUCU